rnacentral:rRNA from 1 species
ACAACCGGGAUUGCCUCAGUAACGGCGAGUGAAGCGGCAAGAGCUCAAAUUUGAAAUCUGGCCCCCUCGGGGCCCGAGUUGUAAUUUGCAGAGGAUGCUUCGGGUGCGGUCCCCGUCUAAGUGCCCUGGAACGGGCCGUCAUAGAGGGUGAGAAUCCCGUCUGGGAUGGGCGGCCGCGCCCGUGUGAAGCUCCUUCGACGAGUCGAGUUGUUUGGGAAUGCAGCUCUAAGCGGGUGGUAAAUUUCAUCUAAAGCUAAAUACUGGCCGGAGACCGAUAGCGCACAAGUAGAGUGAUCGAAAGAUGAAAAGCACUUUGAAAAGAGAGUUAAACAGCACGUGAAAUUGUUGCAAGGGAAGCGUUGUCCACCAGACUCGCCCGGGGGGGCUCAGCCGGCACGUGUGCCGGUGUACUCCUCCCCGGGCGGGCCAGCAUCGGUUCGGGCGGCUGGUGAAAGGCCCCGGGAAUGUAACACCCUCCGGGGUGCCUUAUAGCCCGGGGUGCCAUGCGGCCAGCCUGGACCGAGGCCCGCGCUUCGGCGAGGAUGCUGGCGUAAUGGUGGUCAACGGCCCGUCUUGAAACACGGACCAAGGAGUCUAACAUCUAUGCGAGUGUUCGGGUGUCAAACCCGUCCGCGCAGUGAAAGCGAACGGAGGUGGGAGCCCCCCCGGGGCGCACCAUCGACCGAUCCUGAUGUCUUCGGAUGGAUUUGAGUAAGAGCAUAGCUGUUGGGACCCGAAAGAUGGUGAACUAUGCCUGAAUAGGGCGAAGCCAGAGGAAACUCUGGUGGAGGCUCGCAGCGGUUCUGACGUGCAAAUCGAUCGUCAAAUUUGGGUAUAGGGGCGAAAGACUAAUCGAACCAUCUGGUAGCUGGUCUGC